GCUGGCGGUUCGUGCCCGGGCUGGGGCGCAGGGCCAGGGAGGAGGGUGGCGCCGGGGCCCAGGGACAUGGCGCGGCUGGACAGUGAGGAGGAGGCAGCGGAGGAUCGGGGGCAUCUCUACGCGAAUGGAUACCUUCUGGUCCUGGGGGAUGCGCCUGUCGCCAAGGUGGGCGCGGAGGCGCAGGACGGGCCCAAAGCCGGCUGCCUGGCCCUGAAUGGGGGCUCUCCGGACGGCCUUGAAGCCCCCUCGGGAGCCCUGGCCGGGCCGCAGACUCCGCUGGGCCUGGAGGAGGAGACCCAGGCCCGGCUGCUGCCCGCGGGCCCCGGCGAGGGGACCCCAGCGGCCGAGGACACCCCAGUGCCUCGAAUCGCGCUCUCUGCGCGGCGCUUCGCGGUGCUGCUGACCUUCAGCCUGUACUCGCUGGUGAACGCCUUUCAGUGGAUACAGUACAGCAUCAUCGCCAACGUCUUCGAGGGCUUCUACGGCGUGUCCUCGCUGCACAUCGACUGGCUGUCCAUGGUGUACAUGCUGGCCUACGUGCCCCUCAUUUUCCCGGCCACCUGGCUGCUGGACACCAGAGGCCUGCGGCUCACCGCGCUGCUGGGGUCCGGCCUCAACUGCCUGGGCGCCUGGGUCAAGUGCGGCAGCGUGCAGCAGCAUCUCUUCUGGGUCACCAUGCUGGGCCAGUGCCUGUGCUCCGUGGCCCAGGUGUUCAUCCUGGGCUUGCCCUCCCGCAUUGCCUCUGUGUGGUUCGGGCCCAAGGAGGUGUCCACAGCUUGUGCCACUGCUGUGCUGGGCAAUCAGCUCGGAGUUGCAGUUGGCUUUUUGCUACCACCAGUUUUAGUGCCCAACACCCAGAAUAACACGAAUCUCCUGGCUUGCAAUAUCAGCACCAUGUUUUAUGGGACUUCAGCUGUCUCCACGCUUUUAUUCAUUUUAACAAUCAUUGCAUUCAAAGAAAAACCUCAGUGUCCUCCGAGUCAGGCUCAAGCAGCUCUCCGAGACAGUCCCCCUGAAGACUACUCCUAUAAGAAAUCAAUAAGGAGCCUGUUUAAAAAUCUUCCUUUUGUCCUUCUGUUGAUCACUUACGGUAUCAUGACUGGGGCAUUCUAUUCAGUCUCAACACUAUUAAAUCAAAUGAUAUUGACACAUUAUCAGGGUGAAGAAGUGAAUGCUGGAAGGAUCGGGCUAACACUGGUGGUAGCUGGCAUGGUGGGUUCCAUUAUUUGUGGCUUAUGGCUGGAUUAUACCAAAACUUACAAACAGACUACCCUGAUAGUUUACAUUUUGUCUUUUGUUGGAAUGGUUGUAUUCACAUUGACACUAGACCUUGGACACCUCCUCAUUGUGUUUGUUACUGGAGGGGCGCUCGGUUUCUUCAUGACUGGCUACCUUCCCUUGGGUUUUGAAUUUGCUGUUGAAAUCACUUACCCUGAGUCUGAAGGCACUUCAUCCGGUCUUCUUAAUGCGGCUGCCCAGAUAUUUGGAAUUCUGUUUACGUUGGCUCAAGGCAAACUCAUAUCAGACUAUGGUCCUCUGGCAGGGAACAUUUUCCUCUGUGCCUGGAUAUUUGUUGGCAUCAUUUUAACAGCAUUAAUCAAGUCUGAUCUGAGAAGACACAGUAUAAAUAUAGGAAUUAAAAAUGAUAUUAAAGCUUUGCCUGUUGAUAGUCCCACAGAUCAAGAACCAAAAGCUGUUAUGUUGUCCAAGCAGUCAGAAUCAGCAAUUUGAGAUGAAAAGGAAAAGCUAAAUAAUGUCCAAAUAUCAUGCGAUAACUGGGAUACAAUGGAAUGAUCCUUGGGAAAAUAUGUGAGCAGUGAGGCUUGGUGUAGAUCAUGGGGAGUGGACACGUACUUGACAAUUACUAGAUGAACUCCAGGUGCACCAUGACUUUUGUGAAAUAAGCCUGUGUGUUAUUUGGAAGUUGCAUUUCUCAUCCCACCAUCCUACCUUCAGAUCCAGGGGGACCGUAUGUGUCCUGCUUAAUCGCAUGUAAUCCUACUCCUGUGGUGCAGAGGGGCAUGUAUGUUCCCACAUAGUGUUAUUCAAAAGUCACAUUACCUACCAAAAAUUCAGAAAACACUCAGUGAUUCAGCAUGCAUUCCAUUAAUGAAAAAGCAAAAAUCAACAACAUUUUACAAGCAGAAAAUAAUUCAUUCAUGAAACAGUGUCAUGUAGGAGUACAUGCUGUUUAUAUAUAAAACUAUUUAAUGGAACCAAAUAUACAGUAUAUUCCUAAUUGGCUACUUUUCCAUGUGUUGACCACCCGCCUCAGCACAUGAAUACAAUAUAACGACAUGAUGCUAGUAACCCACCAAACGGCAGUUUCAGGGUCACACUAGCAGAUGGCCUCUAAGAUUGUUUCCAUUUCUUACAUUCUUGUUACAAAAGGCUUUGUAACAACAGGUACUGUCUAUGGCCACAAGAUAGUUUUUCUCUGUUAAAGAGAAAAAGAUGACUAUUCUGGGUACCAAUUGACUUUGAUCUUGGAGUUAUGAUGUAGCUAAUAAAAGGAACCCACGCACUGGCUCAUUUAUCUUGAGUUCUUCUUUCCGCUGCUUUUUUAUCAUGGUAGCAAUGCUACACAAUAUUUUUUCACUCCAACUUGACAUAGAGCAAUUUUGUACCCAUUGCCUUUUUUUAAAUACAUAAAUUUCUAGUAAAAUGUCAUCAUAUAUGUUACUGACUUUUUAACAGUUUUCUGAACCACACGCUAUACUUUUGUCUUAAAGAUUAUUGAGAUUAAAAACAAACAAGCAAAAAUCUAGUAAUUUUGGGAGUCUCUGGGUGGCCCCAACAGUUAAGCAUUCGACUACUAGCUAAAAGAUUGGUUGUUUGAGCCCUCCCAGAGGUACCUUGGAAAACAGGCCUGGCGAUCUGCUUCUAAAAGGUCACAGCCUUGAAAACCCUAUGGCAUGCAGUUCUACUCUUCAUACAUGGGGUCGCCAUGAGUCAGAAUCAACUGAGCACCAACUGGUGGUAUGGUAACUUCAGAUAGCCUGGAUGUUCCCAUUUAAUAGAGCCAUCUUGAAAUGCUAACUGUUCGAAAUCUGCAGUGUCAUUUUUUAUGACCGUUUUCUUCUGAGGAAUAGUAUACCCAGUGAUGUGCUCCAUCAGUACUUGGGGGAGUGGAUUCUUUCUUUCACCACAGACUACAAAGUCACCAUAGUGUUGGGACAGCCUGCUCACUUAGAUGCUCAGGGAAAGGAGAAGAAGGCCAGACGUGUUUCUACAGUGCCUACCUCUGCCUUUGUGCACACUGAGAACUUAAGUGUUGUUGAUAUCCUGACUCUCUUAAGCUGAUAGGACUAUCUCUAGAGUAAUGACGUUGAACUGCCAUGAUGUUUAUGUUAUGUCCACACACGCACACAAAGGCUGAUCAGACAAUGAAUGCCCUUGAAGCGAAUUAAUAAUUCUGAUGUUGGCAGAGUAUGUGCAUUGAUUUAUGUUGAGACUAUAAUGUUCUGUGUAAUUGAAUGACAAUAAGUUGUGUAGAAUCUGGUCCUGAGAAUGUGCUACUAGAAGAACUUAAUUGUGCGUCAGGAAUUCUGAGUCCAUGUCCUAGACCUCUUUCUGGUUGUCCCUUAACCCCCAGACAAGUCAUUGAGCCUCUCUGGACAGCGUUUUCCUCAUCCAUAUAAUGAAUGUGUUUAAUUUGAUCUCAAAAAAUUUUUUUUUAAUCUUAACUGCCAUUCAUCAAGGGGUAGACCAAGUCAUGUUACCACAGGAACUUACAUCUAGCUAGAGAAAAAUCCCCUGAGCAAGUCCGUUGCACCCACAAAACGAGUCAUACUUUCAAUCUCGUUCAGCCUCUUUAUUCAGUUGCUGAGAGCCCAGGCAGAAUGUGUCCAAGAAUUGCACUUUUUUGGCAUUUACACCACGGGUCUUAUGGCCAAAAAUAUAUUUUAAGGUUCCUCCCAAAAUAAUCGUGUUUUUAUUUUUGAACUCUCAAUGUUGUUUAAAAUAAUCGUGUGCUUGUUGAAUUCCUGACACUUUGCAAAUCACAGAUAAAAACCUGAAUACUGGUUUUCUGAAAAGCAUACAUAUAUGUUAUGCAUACAUUUCUUUAUUGACUAGAAAAGAGGUGAAAUAAUGUGGCAAAAUGCAAGACCAGUUGGUGGUGUUCCUGCCUUUUGAGUUGGAGUUGUCUAUAACGCGCCAAACAAGAACAUGACGUCACUCUGUUUCAUGUCUUUGGAAGAUGGAGUUGCUGUCGUCACUGUGUAAAUUUUUGUAAAAUGGUUCUAGGAAAGAAACUGGAUGCUUCCAAAAAGCAUUGCAUUUAUAAAUAUUGCAAGUAUAGCUUUUGCCUUUUGAGAACCUUGGAGAAAUGUCUUUAAAAAUAAAGAUUUUGUGUAAAUUCUGAUUAUUUCCAGAAGAAUGCUUUUCUGGCUUAAGUCUUUUUUUGUGUGUGUGUAUUCUAAUUGUUUAUCUGAUUGUCCUUCAGUAGUUCAAAGUUGAAAUAAAUUUAUUUUUUUAAUGUUAA